CUUCAAAUAAAAUAUUACACUGUUAUAUUUUUUGAAGUUUUUUAUCUAACUGCUAUACGCUUAUUUUUUUAAUUGUUAUUUGUAACCGUGUUGCAUUUCCACGCAAGAAAGUAUGAUCAAUGAGGGUAAGUUAACUUACUUGUAACAUUUAUCUUAAGGUAAUGAGUUUGGGCAUCCUUUGCUUUUAGUAAUUGAUAAAUUUUUCUGAAAUCAUUUUGUUUCAAAUUAUGUUUUUGAUUUAAAUUACUUAGCUAUCAUUUAUAUUUAAUGUUUUAAAAAAGAAAGAGAAAUUAGAAAAAAAAGGUGCAGGUCAAAUGACCAUUUUAUUUUAUUCUUUAAAGUGCUUGAUUAAUAACUAGUAUCACUGUAUAUGUUACAAUAACUAUAUUAGAUUUAGAUUUGUGUCUUGUUUGUAGGUAUACCAGUACAUGAUUUUCAAUGUGAUUUUUCUGUCACUUCAACUUGAUAGGAAAUUUCAAGAUUCAUUCCCUGGCAGAGCAGUUUUUUAUGUCUGAGUAGGUGCCAAAUCAACAAAAGAAAAUUGUGCUCCUGUGACCUAGUUUUUAUAAUCAGAGAUGACAUGAUCGAACUUGGGUCGAACAAGCAUUUACUUGGACAAACAGCCUGACCAAGUUUGAUGACAAAUGAGGCAAGAAUGUGACCACUAGAGUGUUUAACUAAUUUUGAAAGGACGAUGGACAUUCAAAGCCUGAGCCAGCUCAGAUGAGCUAAAAAUCACAGCAUUUUCAUCACAAAAUACAACUUCAAGUGUCUAUUUUUGUAUCUAAUAAUGUUAAUAAUAUCUAUAUAUUAUGAUGCAUUUCAUAAAUUUAUGUGCAGUGCUUAACCUUUGUUUAAACCAUGACGGUGACCUAUAUUUACUGUGUAUAAAUGUAUCCAAAACAGUAAUUUUAUCGCUCAAUAAAAUAACUGUUGGGAGUUCGGAUGGGAGGAAUUUUAUCACGAGGGCGUAGCCAAAGUGAUAAUAUGAUGCGCAUUCUAACAACAUACAGUAAUUUUAUCAAGCGGUAAAAUCACCGAUUUGGAUAUAUUAUUUCAAUUCUAACACAACAUCAACAAAUGAAUGCUGCCGUACCUGAUAUUAAGCUAAAUUGCGCCCGAUUUGUUUCUGUACUUAUUUUUAGUGCGUCACAUUUUUAGUGGUUACGUCACAUGUAUAAUAAUUACGUCACAUGUCUAAAUAUAGAACGUCAAACAGUGAUUUUAUAGCAUAAAAACACACUUUCGGUUCUUCUAUGUUCAACAGGGAAAAAUGCGGGUCAUGUUAGAAUAUAGUAUAACAUGACUGUAAUGAAUGCGAUUGUAGGUAUGAAAUAACUGUCUAAUUUGUUUAAAAUCUAUUAAAAUGGAAAAACAAGGAACAUCGCAAUGCGAUGCAACCAGGUUUUCAGCAAAAUAUUUCACAGAAGCUUUGUCAUGAAGGGGCAUUUGUUUUUAAUUGAACUUUUAGGAGGAAUUAUGGCUUUUUUAAUAUACCUCAAACAAAAAUGA